UUUUUUUUUUUUGGUCUUUUUGCCUUUUCUAGGGUCGCACCUGAGGCACAUGGAGGUUCCCAGGCUAGGGGUCGAAUCAGAGCUACAGCUGCCAGCCUACGCCGGAGCCACAGCAAUGCAUGAUCCGAGCCGUGUCUGCAACCUACACCACAGCUCACAGUAAUGCCGGAUCCUUAACCCACUGGGCAGGGCCAGGGAUCGAACCCUAAACCUCCUGGUUCCUAGUCAGAUUCGUUAACCACUGCGCCACGACGGAAACUCCGUUUGUUAUUGUUUUGACAUAAUACGUUGAUAGCAACAGAAAUACAUUUGUAAUUUGCAAUAUAAUGAGAAUAUUGACAUAAAACUGACUAAUAAUAUCAUAUUCAAAGAGUCCUUCAGCUUUAUCACAACACAGGAAUAUUUGCCCUGAAACCUCAGGUAUAAAGGAAAUUAGCUAAAGGAGUUCCUGCUGCAGCACAGUGGGUUAAGGAUCUGAUUGCAGUGGCUCAGGUCACUGUGGAGCCUCAGGUUUGAUCCCUGGCCCGGCAUAGCAGGUUAAAGGUAUGAUGUUGCCACAGCUGUGGCAUAGGUUGCAGCUGAGGCUCAAAUUCCAUCCUUGGCCCAGGAACUUCCAUAUUCUGUGCGUGCAGGUUUUUACAAAUUUUACAAAAUCUUAAAACUCUGUCAUCACCAAAACUGUGUGUUAUGACAGGCAGUAAGUCUCAUACCCAUAACCUGAAUAAUGAAUACUCCUUUGUGAGCACCCAACUGAUGAUGGAGGAGAGAUUUAAGCCCUGGGAGAAUUAGCCUCAUAUUGUUCAAAGAGAAAGACCAAACUCCAAAGCAAUAGCAACAGAACAAGAAAGAUGCAGUUUAAGUAGAGCCUGAGAUGCCCUGACCUAUGGCUUUUAACCUUGAGGUAUGUUCUGGAUUGCACAUAAUCUAAAAAGAAAAGGGAGUUCCCUGAUGGCCUAGUGGCUAAGGACCCAGUGUUGUUAUGGCCGUAGCUCAGAUCACUGCUGUGAUAGAGGUUCAAUUUCUGGUCUGGGAACUUCCCCAUGCCUCAGGCACAGCCAUUAAAAAAAAAAGAAAGAAAAGAAAUUAAUGUACUUAGUUUUCAUGGAAGUACUUAUUAUGUAAAUAUUCAUUGAGAACGUAUUUCUGUGUACUCUGGGGGGCUUGGUAACCCCAUAUUAUCUUCAAAAUACAUUUCAGUCAAUAGACUAGGAGAGUUAAAUUGUAGCCAUUUCUUUCUAGGAAAUCAUUUCAAACCACAUACCUCAGAGAGUGCCUAGCAUCGUACCCACCAUCGCCACAGCUUUGCUCCCACUUCCCCUAAAAUGAAGAUGAUUCUAUGGACUUUAAGGAGAUUUCAUUGAGCACAUAUUCUUUAUUUUAGAAUGUAUCAUGUGAUAUAUUCUGCUGUUUGAACAGCAAAAGAGAGACAUUAAAACAACAGGCUUAUCCAUCUGUGGAUAAUUUUACCUAAAAUUAAGCAGAAGUUUCUAUUGCUCUUCUUGUUUUAUAUCACACUAAGAAAACGAAUACACUGAUUUAAAUUAUAAAGCUAACAUCAGCAGAGGCAUCACAGAGUUCAGACAUGAUCAGAAAAAUUGCACUGAACAACAACUUUUACUCUCAAUUAUAUGCAUUAACGAUGGGAGUGGUGGCACAGAAAAUGUUCAAACCACUGUGACGCAACUGUUUUUGCACCAGACUCCUUUUUUUAAUCUACUUUGCAUAUUGUACAGACUCAUAUUUAAGUAAUUUGCCUUUGUUCCUUUAACUUACUCUGAUUUAAGCAAGGAGAACAUGAAGGUUUUAAUUUCUAUUUCAUGAAAUAAUUGUUGGAUAUCUUGAGAGUUAAUCACACGGCUGUUAAAUAAUAAUAUCUUGGGAACAAUUCUGUAGUAAUGGUUCAGUGUCAGUACUAAAAAUUUUAGGGGUCCCAUCCAGAACUGGCUGAUUCCAGAGAAAAUAAGGAACAAGUACAACAUGUAACAAGUGCUUCCUGCCAUCUUUGCUUCCAUUUACAAAGUCUGUCUCAGCAAAAAAUGCCAUGAUUUUAGUUGAUAAGCACUCUAGGUGUUCCUUUUAGAGGGGUAUUUGUAUUUUAGCAAAGAUUCCAGAAGAUUGGAAAAUUGUAAUGACUCAAAGGACACCACUCAAAUGUAGUGGGUCUUUAGGCUAGAGACUGUAUCCCCUGAAAUUUGACUUUAAAGUUUGCAUAUUUUUUUCAAAUAGACCAUUUUCUAGACAACAGUGCACAUUCUCAAGUGGUCUACAAACCUUCAAAGGUUAAGAAUUGCGCUAAAAGUGGAAUUUAAGUCUUCAGAAUCGCUUUGGAGAAAGCGACCCUAUCUUGGAAUUUGGAGUGAGGCAGGUCUAGGUUCAAAAGGCCAUUCUGCCACUCACUCACCAUUCCACUUCAGGCAAGUUACUUCAUCUCUCUGAGCUAUAUGUCCUUUCUCUAUACAGUGAGGAUAAAACCAAUGCCUACCUCUUUGGGCUCUUGUGAAGACUGGGUGUAAUGUUUGUAAAGUACUUGGCACAUAGCUACCAUGCUAUAUACUCUCAAGAAACAGUAGCUGUUACUAUAAUUAAUACAAUUAUUUGUUUCAUUAGCAUUAUAAAAUACACUGUGAAGACAGUGGCUUUACCUAACAAAUAAUAAGGUAUAUUAUUCUAAUCCUUUUGCAGUUGGCUGAUAAAACACAGACUGUGGCUAAUUAACAAUGAUUAAGUCAUCUUUGACCAAGACAGGGCUAAAGAGAUUUGUUCUCUAAAGUGAUCUGAUUUUAUUUACUUUAACUAUGGGAUAUCUAAUCUAGUGACUUGAAAUAACAAGGUUUUACAGGUUCACCAGUCUUCCAAGAAUUCCCUAAAUGACUGAAUAACUAUGGUUUCUAUGCUUAGGGUUUUCCAGACAGCACGCAAAAUAAGCAAGGAUUUACAUUCAGCUGUGUUUAAGAUAACAUCUUCAUGCUGAAAAACUGGCACCUUCUCAAAUGACCACUAAUGGAAUUUAUUAGCUAUUAUGGUAUAUUUACAGCACAAAUUACCAUUCAACUAUUAAAAAUAAUUUUAGGAAUAAUGCUCAAUGACAAGGGAUAAUGUUUAUCAUAUAUUAAGCAAAAAAGGCAGUGCACAAAAUUAAGUAAAGCCUGAUUGCUUUUUUGUACAAAGAUGGCACAGAAAAAUGCCUGGAAGAAAGUACACAAAAUUUCCAUGGUAGGUGGUGAGAUGACAGGUGAGUUUCUACACAGAGCAUUUAUUAUUUUUGCAAUCUGAAUAAUAAUAAAAGAGGAGUUCCUGCUGUGGCUCAGCAGUAA
rnacentral:lncRNA from 1 species